rnacentral:lncRNA from 10 species
AAAAUGGAGACAAUAGAAUCUCCUAUCAUAUAUUAUCCUUCUCAGAGCCUUUUGUCACCCUAGAAAUAAAUCUUCAAACUCAGAGAUUGCCAGCUAUCCACCUCAGAGUGGAUAUGCUAACAGGGAUGUACUAAAAAUUGCAAACAUUGAAGGCUUCUCUAAUCCCAGAUACACAACAAAAUACCAUCCAAGACCAUACCACACAGAGACUUCCAAGGCCAUCCUUGGAAAAAUGGAGAAGUAGAAGGCCCCCAUUAUUUUAUUUUAUUUUUAUUUUUUGAGAUGGAGUCUCGCUCUUUCACCCAGGCUGGAGUGCAGUGGCGCGAACUUGGCUCACUGCAAGCUCUGCCUCCUGGGUUCAAGCCAUUCUCCUGCCUCAGCCUCCUGAGUAGCUGGGACUACAGGUGCCCAUCACCAGGCCCGGCUAAUUUUUUUGUAUUUUUAGUAAAGACAGGGUUUCACCAUGUUAGCCAGGAUGGUCUCGAUCUCCCGACCUCAUAAUCCGCCCGCCUCAGCCUCCCAAAGUGCUGCGAUUACAGGCGUGAGCCACCGCGCCCUAAGGCCCCCAUUCUUAACUGUUAACUCCUGAAUUGGGGAUUUCUGUCAAUCUAGCAGAAACUCCAAAAGGAUUCUCUGUACUAGAACCUUGAUUGUCUGAUCACCCCUGUUUCUUAUUUUUCUUAUUUUUAGGCAUUAAUUCCAAAAACAUCCAUCAGACAGACAUUUAGGAAGUGUUCUUUCUAUACAACAGAGACUUGGACAGGUGAAUCAGACCACAGUCCUUGUUUCAUUAAGUUUUCAAUUUU